UACGAAGGGUGCAAGCGUUACUCGGAAUUACUGGGCGUAAAGCGUGCGUAGGUGGUUCGUUAAGUCGGAUGUGAAAGCCCCUGGCUCAACUGGGGAAGUGCACCCGAAACUGAGCGGCUUGAAUGCAAAAGAGGGUCGCGGAAUUCCCGGUGUAGAGGUGAAAUUCGUAGAUAUCGGGAGGAACACCGGUGGCGAAGGCGGCUAUCUGGACAGAAACUGACGCUGAGGCGCGAAAGCUAGGGGAGCAAACAGGAU
rnacentral:rRNA from 1 species